UGCCCCGCAACUCCUAUCCCUACCUCCUCGUGGUACCGGCAGGAAACUAUGAGCAACCUUAGGGAAGA
rnacentral:ribozyme from 1 species